AUGGCAUUAUGGCGGGACGCAUGUGGUAAAUGGUUACAAUGGUGGCUCAUGGAGUUAAAAUUUUGUGUUCUGUACAGAUUUGAGAUGAUAGAAAUUCAAAAUAGGGGUCCUUUGCUACUGUUGGUUGUGUCCUUGCUUCUUGGAGAGGAGGGAGGGCAAAUGACUUUGAUGCCAGAAAUAGGGGAGGAACAUAAGGUCAAGUAUCCAUGUUGUUUGGUACCUUAUAGAAGAUGCAUUACGCAAUGGUCUCGGCAACUGCAGCGAGAUUUCACAGUCACGAUUUUUCCAUAUUGGUAUGGAUUCUAA
rnacentral:rRNA from 1 species